CAACAUCAGAGAGAUUGGAUGUGAUCAGAACAAAUGGACUUUCUUGCCAUGUAAUGGAUUUAUUGUGUCAGAUGUACAAGUGCUUUUCCCUGAACCAGGAGACAAGGACUUCUGGCUGGCAACGGAAAGAGUGGUCCAGGAAUAUUUCUUCACUAUGAGAGCCAUGACCCCAACAUUGAGUCGGGCAGCUGAAUUCCUCCACAGAAUUGUAUGAUCUGUACCAACCAAGGAGAGCGGCCACCAGAAGGCUCUCCCCGUGUGCUCUGACCUGUGCUCUUGGCAGGCCUUCCCACCCUCUCCCUGCCCCCCUACAGUAUCAGUAAUUAUGUGAAACAUAGACAGACUGUAGUGGGUUGAAGGCCUAACCCGCAGGACCUGCAAAUGCAACAUCAUUUGGAAACAGGGUCUUCACAGAUGCAAUCAAGUUAAGGUGAAAUCUAAGAAAAGAAAUCCCAAGAGUUCCCAUGGCAAAGAAAAAAUCUUUCUUCCUUUUCAUUUUUCCUUUGUUGUCUAUAUGAGAUUAUGCUGUUAACUUAUUGUGGUAAUCUUUUCACAGUUUAUGUACAUCGAGCCAUU